rnacentral:misc_RNA from 1 species
AUGGCCAGACUUCUCUCCACACUUCUUCUGGUCUCCUCAAUCUCCGUGGUCCAUGUGUCCGCUCAGGCCAACCGAGCAAAGGUUUGCGAGAAGGCCGUCAAUUUGGGUGUCACCUUCUACACGGCGUCGGAAUUGCAGCCGAUUCUUGCCUGUAUCGAACCAACACUCUACAAUACACCCGAAGACACUACUGCUCUCAUUGAUAAGGGAAAGUCGUGUGUGAUCAGCAACAGUAUGAGCAAGGCUAUUCCCGCAAUGAACCUGUACAGCGGGUGUAAGUUUUCCCUAGCAGCCGACGUUUUACGAGUGCCGGGCCUAUAACUCACAAACCGUAAAGUGUCGGCUGCAAAGUUCCCUUAAAAAUUUGAAUUUCAAGUGCGUGUGUGUGUAUAUGAAGCAACCGACGUUCUAUGGGACCUUCUAAUUACAAAAUUUUCUUGUGAGGUGCGCCCGACAUUUCGCGGGUUAAAGUUUUUUAUUCAUUGAGAAUCUAGCCAAACCUUCUGCUUGCAGCGAAAGCUCGGUCUUUAGAAAGUAGCCGACAUUUCACGAGUGACAGGCUUAUAAUUCAAAAAACCGUAAGGUGUCGGUUGCAAUGUACCCUUAAAAUUUUGGGUUUCAAGAGUAGUUAUUUAUGUAUGAAGCAGCCGACAGUUAAUGGGACCUUCUAAUCACAAUAUGUUCUUGUGAGGUGCGCCCGACAUUUCGCGGGUUAAAAUUUUUUUUAUCAUUGAGAAUCUAGCCAAACCUUCUGCUUACAUCGGAAGCUCGGUCUUUAGAAAGUAGCCGACAUUUCACGAGUGACAGGCUUAUAAUUCAAAAACCGUAAGGUGUCGGUUGCAAUGUACCCUUAAAAUUUUGGAUUUCAAGACUAACUAUUUGUGCAUAAAGCAACCGACAUUUCAUGUGGCCUUCUAUUGUACAUCAUUUUCUUCUGAAGAGCGCCCGACAUUUCGCGUGUCAAAUUGUUUUAUUUGUUGAGGAUUUAGCCAAACCUUCUGCUUGCAUCAGCGGGUCGGAUCUUUACACUGCAGCCGACAUUUUACGGGUCUAUGUUUUAGGCUAUUUUUUGAUCAAAAACCUUGUUGACCAAACGCAUGCUAACAUUUUUGGUUAAUCAUUUUUUAUCGAAAUUUUUUUCUGAAAACUUGGCAUUGAAAUUUUUUUUAAAAUUAAAUUUAAAAAAUCCAAUUUCUAGUUUUGAUGUUUUUAGGAACACAUUUAAUUUUCAGUCAACAGCUGCACGGACCUUAUGGCUCUCCUCGACAAAAUGAUGACCCCAUUCAAGAACGCUUGUAAACCAGUCAUCACCAAAGGUCUUGCCUCCCUCAACACCUGCAAGAAGAACAACAAGGCAACCGGAACCGCCAAGCAAAACGCUUGCAUCAACAAACUCUACGGAGACUGUAUGGCUAUGGUUACCAAGCAAUUCGUCAAUAAGGUGUGCACUGCCCUAUCCAAGAAGAUGACAGCUAAGGAAUGGAAUUGCUGCAAGCAGUAUGCUGUGAAGGUUGUCAAUGUUAAGGGAUACGCCUGCUACAACAUUGUCAAGUAA